CGUAGGGUGCAAGCGUUUAAUCGGGAAUUACGUGGGCGUAAAGCGUGCGCAGGUCGGUUUUGUAAGACUGUCGUGAAACUCCCCGGGCUCAACCGUGGGAAUGGCGAUGGUGACUGCAAGGCUAGAGUUUGGCAGAGGGGGUAGAAUUCCACGUGUAGCAGUGAAAUGCGUAGAUAUGUGGAGGAACACCGAUGGCGAAGGCAGCCCCCUGGGUCAAAACUGACGCUCAUGCACGAAAGCGUGGGGAGCAAACAGGAUUAGAUACCCUGGUAGUCCACGCCCUAAACGAUGUCUACUAGUUGUCGGGUCUUAAUUGACUUGGUAACGCAGCUAACGCGUGAAGUAGACCGCCUGGGGAGUACGGUCGCAAGAUUA
rnacentral:rRNA from 1 species